rnacentral:rRNA from 1 species
AUUGAACGCUGGCGGCAGGCCUGACACAUGCAAGUCGAGCGGAUGAAGGGAGCUUGCUCCUGGAUUCAGCGGCGGACGGGUGAGUAAUGCCUAGGAAUCUGCCUGGUAGUGGGGGAUAACGUCCGGAAACGGGCGCUAAUACCGCAUACGUCCUGAGGGAGAAAGUGGGGGAUCUUCGGACCUCACGCUAUCAGAUGAGCCUAGGUCGGAUUAGCUAGUUGGUGGGGUAAAGGCCUACCAAGGCGACGAUCCGUAACUGGUCUGAGAGGAUGAUCAGUCACACUGGAACUGAGACACGGUCCAGACUCCUACGGGAGGCAGCAGUGGGGAAUAUUGGACAAUGGGCGAAAGCCUGAUCCAGCCAUGCCGCGUGUGUGAAGAAGGUCUUCGGAUUGUAAAGCACUUUAAGUGGGGAGGAAGGGCAGUAAGUUAAUACCUUGCUGUUUUGACGUUACCAACAGAAUAAGCACCGGCUAACUUCGUG